GGAGUUCGAUCGCAGAAUAUGGACCGGAGUACUGACUGCCUGCUAUUCAUACAUCGUUGACUAGGAGCCCAGACCUGAAGCACUGAAGGGGCUAACAGUCGCCGCUGAAUACUGCCUAAGCCAAGCCUUCCAUUCAGACAGAAAAUGGAUCAAGUGCUUGUCGCAUCCGCCCUAUAGUGUGGGUGCCCGUUGGACUCCACUCUAAAUAUACCGCCAGUCAGUGUUUUCAUGUCAUCGGUACCAUCAAAAAGGAGGUGGCUUCGUUCCUGCUCUCAUGCGAGUCCCUGGUUGUCUACCUUGUAAUGUGGUGCCUACGCUGUAAGAAAUUACUUGUCCUGACGCACUGUUGAGGCAGAUGGUAGGCCUCGGUUAUGAAGCUGCGAGCUAGCCAAUGUGGACUUGCCGCCGUGUUGAUAAAAUAGUAUGAGGACGACUUUUUUUCGUUCACGCUAUUCAUGAGUGACCUCUCUCGAGAACGCAAUUUGCUCACCCAAAGGUUGUACGCGCAAGCCUGAGAAUCUACACCGAAAUAAGAAAAAUUAAAAAUCUAUAUUACAUAAUUUCAGAUAUCAAGAGAACCAGAAUAGACGCUGAUAUAAUACACUAUCUCCAGAGCGCCUUCCGCUGUCGCAUUUGGCUUCUGUGAUAAUGAAUGAAUCAGAGCGGUCUCUUGAAUUUUGAAGCAUACAACGUUUUUUCUUCUCUCUCUGCUGUCAAGGCCAUAAGCGUGGCUUGUCGAUUGCCGGCACGCGUCUGAGAUCCCUUGUGACUCAGGCUGGCCUGCCUGUUAACCUUCGCAUGUCGUGUACAACAAUACGAUUUUGUGACGGUGCAUGUUGCGAGCUUACGUUUGUUCCAGAUAGUAAGGCGGCACUGAAGCAAGUUAUUGUUUUAGCAAGGCUUUGCUCAACUCGCUCAGUGAUGUGGCUGCACGCAAAAACGAAGUGUCUGCUUUUUCGCCACGCUUUUGCUCUUGAGACGUCUGUGCACUUUGCUAAAUUAAAGCUCAUACACUCCUUUUGCACGUAUCUUAGUGGUACUGAAUCACCUCUCACUCCGCUCUUGUGUUUAUCUCGUAUUUUUUGGAAGCGACAAAGAACCGACCUUCCCACUACCAGUGGCACUGGCCCGUUUGGUGUACGACACGUGGUGGUACAAUUGUACGAGUUGCUACGCUCUCCCUCAGUUGUUCAUCACGAUUUCUCAACAGAACACCUGCUGCUUCUACUGUCCGCCUACUCAGUCAGUGAGUAACCAGCAGCUGCCUCCUGAACUAGAUAAGAACAGGUAGUGGCAUUUCUGCAACAUUUUUUCAAUGCAUAAUCAUGAUUGAGAAUGUGGACCUCAUGCCGCAAGUAGCAGAAAUGCCGAGUAAGCGGUGGUAGGAAUAUUGCAGGUAGUUUUGUCGGCAUAAAUAAAAGAUGAAUAACAACAUCAAUAUAAGCCUGGACGUUUUAGGUCGCAGGACGCUUUAAUUCAGCAGUCGCGUGAUGUGCUGGAAGGACAGACUAAGCCUACCGACGCAUCGCUAACAAAGCCUUUUUUCUAGGCUUCCUCUUACCUUUAUUGCACACAGGCGGUGCUGCGAUAUCCAGAGUCUUCCACACGUCGUUUCGGGACAUGAACGAGUGUGACGCUUUCCCUCUUCUGCUUCCUAUCAGUAGUGUAGAAUCAGCAGUCCUGUUUCGUUUGGUUCUAGCGGCACACUAACUUUUUUUCUUUGUGAAGCCCUUCGAUGCAGCACUAAUUCGUGUCUGAUCUACAGAAAUGCACUGGUCUGCCACACGCAGCUUUACGCGUAGGCCGGUGCCGUCAUUAUUAUUUCCCAGCCGGUAUGUUUCGUUGGCCAACAUGCGCUGCAAAUACAGCUCGUUUCUGUAUCACAACUCCUGGUUAUACGGUACUCCAUAGUGUUGCCCGUGUGUUUGUCGUCGCAGCUGGUAAGUAAAAGAGGUGUGCCUUACGUAAGUCCCAUUCGCAUGCUUAUGGCUACGUACACGAAUGGGAGUGAAGCGUGCACCGAGUCUGCAAUUGCGAGGUAGGAGACAGAGAGCAGAAAAAAGCGACAGUGUGGUAGGAUACUAUCUGGCUUUGUGUUUUUUAGCUGGAUAGUGCCGGCGGAGAUAGCUGAAUGUCCUCGAAAAACCGUUGGAUUCGCGGUACUUGCGUUAAGGGAUUGUUUCCGAAUUUCCAGAUACGAAGACGUGAUGCGGUGAUUUGGCUAUCAUUCUUUGAGACAUGGUUUUUCUUGCUCCUCUAUCACGGUAUCCCCGAAGGUGGUUCCUUCUCUGCUUCAGGCGCUGGUGAGAUUUGUUUUUGAUGAAUCGAUCUCGUGGACGCCCAAGCUUGGAAUCCGACACUGUCUACUCUCGUGUGUGUGCGCCCUCAAUAUAAUAUGCGGUUGUGUGAUGCGAUUAGCAAUAUAUUAUUUAGGGACCAGUGCAUUUUCCUAAAGGACGUUGUGGCAAUUCGAUGAAGGAGCAAAAGUCAUAUUCGGAAUGAAACUGUUAAUUGCUACUGCAUACUUUGCUCACUGAACAUUCCUCGCCCAAUUAUCCCCUCCUUAAUGUCGCAUCUGGGUUCGUAACAAGAGUGGGUUUGAAAUUGUCUUUAACACUGGCACCGCAGAAAUGUUGGAGACACCAUUCAUGACUGUAUACGACCCACGUUGCCUGCAGCGGCGAACCAACGCCCACGAACACAUCCUGGAAGGGGGUGGUCUAUAUGCAAAUAACAACGACGGGAAUUUCCUUUUCUCGGAUGUCAACCGACUCAGGUUAUUAUGGUACGAUCUCUCACACCAAGCAUUGACCCAGAAAAUACCGCGUAUUUUUUUCAUAAAAACAUGGCAGUGUGUUCAUCGACGGGCGGCAUUUCUGCGACUUGAAAAGGUUUCUUUAUUUUCAUCGCACAGUUAAUGCUGGUCCGGCAAACACCCAACAUCAGUUACGAUGUUUAUAGUGGUUUCUUACUAAAGGGCAAAUUUGCAUGUUUAGACAAAAGAAGCACUAAAGAAAAGAAAUCAAGUUGACUCGGGACAGAAGUCUUGCUCUGUACAGAGUACCAUUAUGACAUGGUCCGUGAACCGUCCCCCCAGUGAGCACGGUUCUUUCUUGCGCAGUCAGUCUUGCUGCUGUUGGGUGACUCCAGCGCCUUUCAGCAACCACUGUUCCUCAAAUCUACUGAAAGUCGAUUUCGAGAACAAUCCUGCGUGUAGUAAAUGAGUGGAACUGCAACCAUGUGCGUCGAAUAUUGUCGCACCGCAGUCGCUCGCUUAUAAUGUUGAGGGUGACUCUGUCAUGGCGUCGCCACAACUUCGACAUGAUCUGUUGUUGAGGAUACACCGCGCUUUGGAAUCAUUUGGCGCAAAGGGUCUGUCGGGCUUAUCGGGGAGCAGUGAUGUAUACCCCGCUCCCUGUUAACGACGUCUUUUUUGCCGCUGCCCGUCGCAACUUUUGUGAUGUUGAUUUAGCCGGGAAAUUACCGCCUAUCACAUAUAAUCGAGUAUCAUCUUAGAUGCACAGGUGGACAUAAUUAACACUUGCAAGGCUCGUAUUUACUCGAGUCGUCAAUUUAAGUUCAUACUGUGCACAAUCGGGUUCGUUCUAUAUCAGAUAUAAGGAUUGAGUUCACGGACGCAAUUCCUACGUGAACGGGAUGGCUUUGUUGACAUGUAGGAUGGCUGACAUUGGCCAAACAGAAAGUUAUUGGACGAACAGGUCGAGUACAGAUGCACAGUGGAAGGCCUAGGAAAAAAGUGCGAGAG
rnacentral:lncRNA from 1 species